AUUGAACGCUGGCGGCAGGCCUAACACAUGCAAGUCGAGCGGAGCGGCGGACGGGUGAGUAAUGCCUAGGAAUCUGCCUGGUAGUGGGGGAUAACGUCCGGAAACGGGCGCUAAUACCGCAUACUAUCAGAUGAGCCUAGGUCGGUUUAGCUAGUUGGUGGGGUAAAGGCCUACCAAGGCGACGAACCGUAACUGGUCUGAGAGGAUGAUCAGUCACACUGGACUGAAGACACGGUCCAGACUCCUACGGGAGGCAGCAGUGGGGAAUAUUGGACAAUGGGCGAAAGCCUGAUCCAGCCAGGCCGCGGGUGUGAAGAAGGUCUUCGGAUUGGACAGCACUUUAAGUUGGGAGGCGUUACCAACAGAAUAAGCACCGGCUAACUUCGUGCCAGCAGCAGAGGUAUAC
rnacentral:rRNA from 1 species